GACGAACGCUGGCGGCGUGCCUAAUACAUGCAAGUUGAGCGCUGAAGGUUGGUACUUGUACCAACUGGAUGAGCAGCGAACGGGUGAGUAACGCGUGGGGAAUCUGCCUUUGAGCGGGGGACAACAUUUGGAAACGAAUGCUAAUACCGCAUAAAAACUUUAAACACAAGUUUUAAGUUUGAAAGAUGCAAUUGCAUCACUCAAAGAUGAUCCCGCGUUGUAUUAGCUAGGUGGUGAGGUAAAGGCUCACCAAGGCGAUGAUACAUAGCCGACCUGAGAGGGGGAUCGGCCACAUUGGGACUGAGACACGGCCCAAACUCCUACGGGGGGCAGCAGGAGGGAAUCUUCGGGAAGGGGGGGAAGUCUGACCGGGCAACGCCGCGGGGGUGGAGGAGGGUUUCGGAUCGUAAAACUCUGGUGGUAGGGAAGAACGUUGGGGAGAGUGGAAAGCUCAUCAAGUGACGGUAACUACCCAGAAAGGGACGGCUAACUACGUG
rnacentral:rRNA from 1 species